UCAAAUUAAGUUUUUAUGAUUUUAAGUUAAAUUAGACUUAAGAAUAUGUGUAAGAAUUGAGAAUAAAUAUUUACUUUUUAUUUUAGAAAUGAACACACAAGAAAAUUUAAACGACGAUGAUGGUGACUUUUUUAGAAAUGCGCAGGAGAUAAUGGCAGAAGAGACAGAGUCUCUUCUGCCUUAUUUUAAAGAAUUCUUCAAUAAUCAAAGUUAGCAUUUUCUAUUUUUUCUUUUUUACUUCAGUUUUUUCGAAGUUUAUGUUACAGUAAAUAAAUUUAUGAACUAAUCUUUCAUACAUUUUGUUUAUUUAGAAAAUUUAGAAAGUAGAGUUAGUAAG